GUGCUUGCUUCGGCAGCACAUAUACUAAAAUUGGAACAUUACAGAGAUUAGCAUGGCUAGUGCACAAGGAUGACACGCAAAUUCGUGAAACAUUCCAUAUUAAA